UAACGGCUCAUCUUUGCGACGAUCAGUAGCUGGUCUGAGAGGAUGAUCAGCCUCACUGGGACUGAGACACGGCCCAGACUCCUACGGGCAGCAGUGGGGUAUAUUGGACAAUGGGCGCAAGCCUGAUCCAGCCUUUUCGUGAUGAAGGCCCUAGGGUUGUAAAGCCCUUUCGGCGGGGAAGAUAAUGACGGUACCCGCAGAAGAAGCCCCGGCUAACUUCGUGCCAGCAGCUUUGGUAAUACUAAUGGGGCUAGCGUUGCUCGGAAUCACUGGGCGUAAAGCGCACGUAGGCGGCUUUUUAAGUCAGAGGUGAAAUCCUGGAGCUCAACUCCAGAACUGCCUUUGAUACUGAGGAGCUCGAGUCCGGGAGAGGUGAGUGGAACUGCGAGUGUAGAGGUGAAAUU
rnacentral:rRNA from 1 species